rnacentral:rRNA from 1 species
UACAGAGGUCUCAAGCGUUGUUCGGAUUCAUUGGGCGUAAAGGGCGCGUAGGCUGCGGGGCAAGUCGGGUGUGAAAUCUCAGAGCUCAACUCUGAAACUGCACUCGAUACUGCUUUGCUUGAGGACUGGAGAGGAGAUUGGAAUUCACGGUGUAGCAGUGAAAUGCGUAGAUAUCGUGAGGAAGACCAGUGGCGAAGGCGGAUCUCUGGACAGUUCCUGACGCUGAGACGCGACGGCGUGGGGAGCAAACCGG